AUUGAACGCUGGCGGCAGGCCUAACACAUGCAAGUCGAGCGAGUGGCGGACGGGUGAGUAAUGUAUGGGGAACUGCCCGAUGGAGGGGGAUAACUACUGGAAACGGUAGCUAAUACCGCAUACUAUCGGAUGAACCCAUAUGGGAUUAGCUAGUAGGUUGGGUAAAGGCUCACCUAGGCGACGAUCCCUAGCUGGUCUGAGAGGAUGACCAGCCACGCUGGAACUGAGACACGGCCCAGACUCCUACGGGAGGCAGCAGUGGGGAAUUUUGCACUAUGGGCGCAAGCCUGAUGCAGCCAUGCCGCGUGUAUGAAGAAGGCCUUCGGGUUGUAAAGUACUUUCAGCGGGGAGGCGUUACCCGCAGAAUAAGCACCGGCUAACUCCGUGCCAGCAGCCGCGGUAAUAC
rnacentral:rRNA from 1 species